AGACCGGGAGUUGAGAGCAAGAGGGCCUUGUCCACGGUCAAAAGGAAGAGGACACGUGUUGAUGAGGCUGUGGAGGAAUUGGAACCCUUGUCCACUGCUGGUGAGGUGAAAUGCUGCUGCCACUGCUCAGAAGAGUCGGGCAGCUCCUCAGGAGCCGAUGUUCUAAAGGCAAGAACUCAGCUUAUGAACUUAGUUGAUCUCCGUUGAAUGAACCCGCUGAAUGAACCCUUGCUGGUCAGUUCAAACAGCCGCACGAGGUAGAAAAGUAUUUAAUUUAUCCAGUGAUUUGAAACUGUUCAUCCCGGGAUCCACAAGCUGGGCCUCUGAUGAAAACAAGUAAUAAUAUUCUUUCCAUUUACAACAAAAACACAAUCGAUGGGAUUUUCUUUAAAGACGUUAACGAAUUUCGAAAAGGUUAUUUGUACACAUGGUAAAACAGUAAAACGGCAUAAGCAGAUGAUGCUUUUAUAAUGGGAAGAAUGAUGUUUUCUUGGGGUUUUAGUAGAUGCUUUUAUCAGAUUAAGGAAAUUCUUUUCUAUUAGGUCUUAUGUCAUAAAUGAUAUAUUGAAUAUAAUCAAAUGCUUUUUCUGAAACCGUUGGGAUGAUAUAGCUUUUCUCUUUUAAUCAAUUAAACAGACAAUUGAUAUUUAUGUUUGUUCUCUGUUGACUACCCUUGAGUUCCAGGGUGAACUCCGACUUGCUCAUGAUUAUCUUGUUGCUGCAUUUGGGUUGCUUCUGUUUUGUUCAGGACUUUUGUGUUGAAGUCCAUGAGUGAGACUGGCCUGCACUCUUCCUUUCUGGUCCUGUCCUUUGUCUGAUUUGGAUCAAGUUGAUACUGUCUUCAUAGAAUGAGCUGGGUAUGCCCCCUUCUUUUCCAGUUAUCUGGAUUGUUUUUUAUGUGAUGCUUCAGAAUCUCGGCUUCAGCUCCAUGGUCACAUCCUCUGAGAAGGUUGCCAAGGGUGCUGCCUCCUGGCAGUUAUGCCCCUGUGUAACCCCCCUCAUUGGUGAGGCUGGACAGGUGCCUUGCUUCUACUGAAUAAAUGUAGUGAAAGAGAUGGGAUGCCACUUCUGAGAUGAGGUGAUAAAAGCCUGUGGCUUCCACCUUGGGCGCCCUCUCUCGCCCACUCACUC
rnacentral:lncRNA from 1 species